GGUGAGUGAAUAAAAAGCGGUUUCUGGGCUGGUGCGGCGGCGGUAGAGAUCCGGGAGGCGGGGAACGGCGGGGAAGUGGCGGAGGUCGGGAUCCAUCCCGGCGGUUCGUAGUGUAGGCCGGCCGCGGCGGCGCUCCGGUUCCCCGAUCCGAUCGGUAGCAGGACGGCAGCGGCAGAGUUCCAGGAGGUGGGGAACGGUGGGGAAGUGGCGGAGGUCGGGAUCCAUCCCGACGGUUCGUACUGGAGGCCGGCGGCGGCGGUGCUCCAUGGCUGUGGCGACUCGGUCGUCUGGGAAGAAGAUACAAGGGAGGGAGACGAGGUGAGAUGUAGAGAAGAGAAGGGAGAAUAGGGACUGCGCGGCUACCUGCUGCUGGUCCGACGGCGGCUCCGGUCGUCGGAUCAGGCCAACUCUUGAUGGAUUUCCAAUGUGUUGCUGGCCUCCCAAUUUUUUCGGUCGUGCAGCCGCUCCCUGGCUCCCUGUGUCAUCCCAAGAUGGUCCGGCUGGGCGCUGUCCUGACGGCUGAGCGUGUGCUAUCCACGGAACACAGCUCCUCCACCCAGGCCCUCAUCCGCAACGCCGGCGAGGACACUACUUCGUCUGAACCGAUUAUCACAACCACGCACAGGAGCUCUAUGGCACAUGUAACAGGUCUUGGACAUGAUGGCCGGACGCGAUGAGGAGGACAUACUGGAUCCCCAUGGAUGCCAAGGAUUCGAGGACAUUGGCAGAUGUAGAGGAGGCAAUGAGGACAGACAUGAUUGCGGCACACAAUUUAAAUAAACCAGAAUAUCCUGAAAAUUAUAUUUGGUGUAUAGAAUUCAGUUUUAGUCUUUGAGUACAUUUUCAUCAUUCACUAACUCCAGUAGUGAGUAAAAAUAUAUAAAACUACGUGACUUGUAAAUUUUUGUGUCUGUCGUGCGUCCCAACGAUUCCAUCGGCAUCGUGCCUCCCCUACCCUGGUGCGGACUGCAGUAUUAGCGGUCUCCUUGCAGUCCUGAAGCAGCUCAAGGGCAUCGUCCUUGGAGCGCCUCCUCAAGGCUUGAUGCUUUCUUCAGGAAAAAAUGGUUCUUUUCUUUGAGAUGAGGAAAAUUACUUCCCUUUCUACAGGAAAAGAUGGUUCUGUUAGAUAAAUGCCUUCCCAUGUUAAAGGCACAUGGCUCUGAAGUACUAAUAUUCUCUGAGGUACUGAUUCUCUCUAUUACUCAUGCACCUAGCUUGGUUGCUUCACAAAGCAUCAUGACUAUGAUAAAAAUAUGAUAGCAAUCAUGAGUUACAGAAAUUCUUCUUGUGAGGUGAUUUUGUGCCCAUGCUCACAUUCUAUCUUGAGUUUUGUGACCCAUAUUAUGAUAUCUUCUUUGCGUAUUCAUGAUUGUGUGGAGCUUGCAAGACUAAUUCAUGCAGGCUUCUUAGCUUUUCAUUUUUUAUAUUUGCCACAAGCAUGCUUUGCUAUGUUAUGCAUGAUCUUCUUGCCCAUCUCAUACUUUCAACUCUCCCUUCUCAUUAUAUAGUGAAAAUGUAAUCUUAAAUCAUGACCAGAAAAAAAUGUGCAGGUUCUACAUGUUUACUUGCAUGCUAUUUUUUUACAAGGGUACCAUAACAUGUGAAAAUUUUGAAGACCGUUGUGAAGAUUUGUGGGAGCAGCUCCGACUCCAAUUAAAGAAGUUCCACGCAGCGGGCAUGAAGAUUGGUCACAUCUGUAUGUAUAGUUGUGCUGCAGGACAUGUGCUAUUCUGAAAAUGGAGCUUCUCUAUUGGAUGGCAGCUCAUGAUGGUAGUUUCAGAUAUGAAGCUAAGGAAAGCGCGCCUCAUAAUUCAUUAGAUGUAACCUAGUAGGGCCAAUUAGAUAUUGUUGGUUGUAAAUGACAUGAGUUUUUAGCUUUCAUAAAAUCUAGAUAUGUACUCUUUAACAAUAAGCUGUGGAGGAGAGUGGUCUUAAAUGUGCUGGUUGAAUUUACCAAAGUUGGUUCA